GACACCAGACUGAUCCCUGCAGUAACAGAGCAGCACCAGUGGGUCCAACUGCACAGAACCAUGAAGUACCUGGGAAUCCUGCUGCUUCUUGUAUUCUCUGCAACUCUCAUCUCCGGGGAACAUCCUGAGGAAACAGGAUGGCGGCGUGAAUGUGAUCGCUGUGAGGAAUGCUGUGAGAUGGUGCGACGGUGUGAACAGUGUACAAGGCAGGAGUGCUGCGAAUGGAAUAGACGCGGCCAUAGAAAAUAGGCGACCGACUCAUAAUGGGACCCACCAUCAAUCAAUAACCAGAGGCCUUUGGUUGGUUCCUGUUGCGAGUCUGGGGCAGCAGAUUAUAUUAUACUGUAUGUUGUACCUUCUCCAUGUGCUGCAGAGAAUUCUCACAGACUGGAUACUGACAAAUCCCAAUAAAGUUCCCCUGAAUGUGCUAUAAACCCUCA